rnacentral:rRNA from 1 species
AACGCGAAGAACCUUACCUGGUCUUGACAUCCACAGAACUUUCCAGAGAUGGAUUGGUGCCUUCGGGAACUGUGAGACAGGUGCUGCAUGGCUGUCGUCAGCUCGUGUUGUGAAAUGUUGGGUUAAGUCCCGCAACGAGCGCAACCCUUAUCCUUUGUUGCCAGCGGUCCGGCCGGGAACUCAAAGGAGACUGCCAGUGAUAAACUGGAGGAAGGUGGGGAUGGCGUCAAGUCAUCAUGGCCCUUACGACCAGGGCUACACACGUGCUACAAUGGCGCAUACAAAGAGAAGCGACCUCGCGAGAGCAAGCGGACCUCAUAAAGUGCGUCGUAGUCCGGAUUGGAGUCUGCAACUCGACUCCAUGAAGUCGGAAUCGCUAGUAAUCGUGGAUCAGAGUGCCACGGUGAAUACGUUCCCGGGCCUUGUACACACCG